UUAUUGAUUGACCGGAUGCGACCGAUGGAAGGUAUCUAAUUCAAAUAAAAGAAGGGAGUCAAAUGACUUUCGUGGACUGCUGCCCCGCUCCUUAAGGUGCCCAUCUCUGAGUUGGAUUGAUAUCUCAUUUUUUAAGCAAAGUCAAAGGAGCCAUUCUCAAGUAGGCCGCUUUCAGUCGUUCCACUUCGGUCCUCCACUCGCUACACAUAGUUGUCCAAAGCAUUAGGCACGGUUUGUGACCGACCCCGCGAUGAGUCUUUACUUAUCCGUCCGAAAAUGCGCUAUAUCAAAUUCGUUUAUAUACCCACAUGGGAUCCUCCCUGAAACAUUGCCUUUUCCUCUCCUUAUGGUUGAGAGAUCCAGUCGGUCAAGCCAGUUUGGUUAGUUCUUUCUUAGAUCCGGUCCGAGUGGUAGCCUGGCGAAGAUGGCGGCUCCAUACGGGGAACCGGGUUAUUAGGCAAUAAUGGUCAAUAUAAGAGUUCCGAUGAUGAGCUGCCUAUCUCGCUGUGAAGCUUGCGCCUCUUUUCAUUCUACUUCUAUUUUAUGGACAUGUUCUUCACAUCCUCGAUUCUAACCAUAGGAUAGAGUUGAAGUGAACCUAGAGAAAACCCAGAGGAGUUUUCUAAUGAAGAACGUUCCCGCUGCCCUAUCUCUAGUGUAGUGGUGGUGUAGCGCGUUAGAGAGAUCAGUCUCAUCCAUAUAAAAAACCAAUAUAUCUGCUAUGAGUGAAUCUACUCCGGCUCUGGGUGAAAG
rnacentral:lncRNA from 1 species